rnacentral:ribozyme from 16 species
AUAAACCUUAAAAAUGGAACAAAAUCAAGAUAAUUCAGGACAUUUCAGAGAAUCAUUGAUUUUCCGGUACAUUUCUCAUCGAUUUUUUGGUUACUUUGUUUUUUUGUUUUUUGUUG